GCGAUGAGGAAGUGGCGUUACGGUCAUGAACUAGUUGCGGGCGGAGGGGAGUGGCCUCCUUGCGCGAGACAAGCGGGGAAGGAACUCGUUUGGGGCCAUCUUUAUCAGGGUGAUGCGAUCAGCUGAAACCGGCGCUUAGGAGGACGGAAGUACGCAUGCGCAAUGAGCUGAUGACUACUGGCUGGCCCGCCCCGCGCACGAAAAAGGGUCUGUUGGCACAAACCCCACCGCUCGAGUUUGCAGUUCACCGGUUCCAGCCAGGAAAUUGGGUCCUAAUAAAAAGUUGGAAAGAAGAGAAACUCCAACCCCAGUGGGAAGGACCACAUCAGGUUCUCCUAACCAUCGAAACUGCAGUCCGAACAAAAGAAAAAGGGUGGACCCUUAUACCAGAGUGAAAGGACCGGUGGAGAACCAAAGGAGCGGAUUAGUGACGCUGCCAACGAGCCCCUCAAACUCAAGUUGUGGAGACAAUAAAGCUUAAUGAUACACCCAGGGGAUAUAGUGGGUGGGGUUAUAUCUGGAUUACUGUUUAUUGUGUGGCUUGUGGCCCUAUACUUUUAGAGGAAGAGUGUGAUAUUGUGAUAAUUGAAGAUUUGGAACCGAAUUACAAUGGGAUUAUCACUAAAAUGGGGUUUACAGGUCUUAUUGCUCUGUCAGAUAGAAUGGGUAAUUCAAGCAGAAAGAAAUAGGCAAGAGAUACAAUUAGGACUUUGGAAACAAAACACUUCGAUUAGGAGAGUGGAGGAGUAUUUGCAACAAAUUGAGACCAGCAAUAUAACCAAUUGCUUGGUAUGUCAACGUAUGCCUGCUAAAGCUAAUGAUGGACUCCCUAUGGAGGCAAUACCACUAAAUAAAACUGAAUGGUUAAGAUCCCGGGUGAGGGGAGCACUUGUAUCAGUUGAGAUUAAUAAUACAAUGGUAUUGACAGGAUCUAGAAUACAGGAUAAGGCACCAUAUUGUUGGAAGCAUGUUAACAACACUAGCAAUAAUACUGUUGAUUUGGGCACUUAUUCAAACUGUGAUGAAACUAUUGACAUAGAUGGAAUGUAUAACAUGACUGAUCCUAGCUUUACGUAUCAAAACAUAUCAGAGUAUGAGUGUAAUGAAAAGAUAUCAGGUAACAGGGGUAUGGGGGGUUCAGCAUGUAACACUAUUAGAUCGUUAAUCCAGUCAGCGGUAGCUCCUGCGGAUCAUGCCAAAAGGCACACCUCCUUGCUAGGAGGGUGGUGGUUGUUAUGUGGUCGGAGGGCAUAUAAAGCAAUACCCCCAUAUUGGGAAGGAACAUGUACCUUGGGAAGAGUGGCCCCAGCCCUCAGGAUCAAAGAACAUGACCCAACAUCGUAUUAGAAACAAAAGAGAAGUAGAAGCAAAGAGCCCUCUAAAAACAAGCAGUCGUGAUGGGGAGAGGCUACUUAGGUUAAUUAUACCUUCGCUAGGAGUAGCACUGAACUUUAGGGAUCUGGUUAAAUUAAGUAAUUGGACGGAAUGGAUGUUUAAUAAAACUAGAAGGGUUGCAGAAAUUAAAUCAAGAGCAAGGAGAAAUUAGGUGGGUGGUCUUACAAAAUAGGGAAGCUUUAGACAUGUUACUGGCAGCUCAAGGAGGAGUCUGUGUUGUUGUACGUUCACAUUGCUGUGUAUAUAUUCAUAAUAACCAAAUGGAUAUCAAUAAGACAAUGGAAGUUAUGGAACACGCUAUAGUAGAAAAACAUGAGGAUGAAUCAAAGAGAUGGAAUGGUAAGUGGAACCCCUUUGGAUUUUUGGAUGAAUGGUUUCCUGAUGUAGGGAGUUGGGUUAAGAAUGUGCUCGUAGUAG